AAAAAGAAAGAAAAAAAGGAAAUUGUUUAAAAAUUUGAAAAGUUGUGAGAGGUCAAUUACACCAUUGCACCUUCUGUGUUUAUUCAUUGCCUGAACGAGCCAGGUUUGUGAGCGCCUUUCAGAGAACCAUCUGACUGUGGCCGAGAUGUCUCUGGAGAGUACUAGAAGAUGAAGAGAGAGAGCACAUAAGGGAGAAGAGCAGAGAGACAGA